UUGGAGGUUGUUCCCUUGAGGAGUGGCUUCCGGAGCUAACGCGUUAAGUCGACCGCCUGGGGAGUACGGCCGCAAGGUUAAAACUCAAAUGAAUUGACGGGGGCCCGCACAAGCGGUGGAGCAUGUGGUUUAAUUCGAUGCAACGCGAAGAACCUUACCUACUCUUGACAUCCACGGAACUUAGCAGAGAUGCUUUGGUGCCUUCGGGAACCGUGAGACAGGUGCUGCAUGGCUGUCGUCAGCUCGUGUUGUGAAAUGUUGGGUUAAGUCCCGCAACGAGCGCAACCCUUAUCCUUUGUUGCCAGCGGUCCGGUCGGGAACUCAAAGGAGACUGCCAGUGAUAAACUGGAGGAAGGUGGGGAUGACGUCAAGUCAUCAUGGCCCUUACGAGUAGGGCUACACACGUGCUACAAUGGCAUAUACAAAGAGAAGCGACCUCGCGAGAGCAAGCGGACCUCAUAAAGUAUGUCGUAGUCCGGAUUGGAGUCUGCAACUCGACUCCAUGAAGUCGGAAUCGCUAGUAAUCGUGGAUCAGAAUGCCACGGUGAAUACGUUCCCGGGCCUUGUACACACCGCCCGUCACACCAUGGGAGUGGGUUGCAAAAGAAGUAGGUAGCUUAACCUUCGGGAGGGCGCUUACCACUUUGUGAUUCAUGACUGGGGUGAAGUCGUAACAAGGUAACCGUAGGGGAACCUGCGGUUG
rnacentral:rRNA from 1 species